ACAUAAACACACACAUGCAUACACACACACACACACACACACACACACACACACACACACAAACAAACACAUUUAUUAUUAUAAUCCAAGAGUGAAAGAUCAAGAAUCACCGCACACUGAUCACUAUUAGCUUAAUUUUUAUUUUUUGAACGAACAACGAGUUUCGCCUAGCGCUUCAUCAGGUUCGCUCUGUACCAUCCUCCCUUCUUUUCCACAGGUGAAUAAAUCAGGUAAUGUCACAUGACCUUGUUGGGUGAUAUUUAAGCUACAUAUCAAAUAGUUCAUAGUUCAUUAACAACAUCAAUAUACUUCAUAAACAACACAGAAUUAAUUCAUACAUUCACAUACAACAUCAGUAGUUCAUAAAACAACACCUCUAAGAAAUUGUUCAUAUGUUUAAGUGACAUAAA